CUAGUACAUCAAGAGUGGCAAUUAUAAAUAAUUGUCCGGCAACCGAGCCAUUGAAGAAUGGAUACGGUGCCAAUUCACUUAAGAGGAGUGAUGUGGUCAAUUCACUUUGACAAAAAAAAUAUUACUU
rnacentral:ncRNA from 2 species